GACCGGUGGUGGAGGGUGGGGGAGUGAGAAUGCAGGCAUGAGUAGCGACAAGGCAAGUGAGAACCUUGCCCGCCGAAAGACCAAGGGUUCCUGGGCCAGGCCAGUCCGCCCAGGGUGAGUCGGGACCUAAGGCGAGGCCGACAGGCGUAGUCGAUGGACAACGGGUUGAUAUUCCCGUACCCGUGUGUGGGCGCCCGUGACGAAUCAGCGGUACUAACCACCCAAAACCGGAUCGAUCACUCCCCUUCGGGGGUGUGGAGUUCUGGGGCUGCGUGGGAACUUCGCUGGUAGUAGUCAAGCGAAGGGGUGACGCAGGAAGGUAGCCGUACCAGUCAGUGGUAACACUGGGGCAAGCCGGUAGGGAGAGCGAUAGGCAAAUCCGUCGCUCACUAAUCCUGAGAGGUGACGCAUAGCCGGUUGAGGCGAAUUCGGUGAUCCUCUGCUGCCAAGAAAAGCCUCUAGCGAGCACACACACGGCCCGUACCCCAAACCGACACAGGUGGUCAGGUAGAGCAUACCAAGGCGUACGAGAUAACUAUGGUUAAGGAACUCGGCAAAAUGCCCCCGUAACUUCGGGAGAAGGGGGACCGGAAUAUCGUGAACACCCUUGCGGUGGGAGCGGGAUCCGGUCGCAGAAACCAGUGAGGAGCGACUGUUUACUAAAAACACAGGUCCGUGCGAAGUCGCAAGACGAUGUAUACGGACUGACGCCUGCCCGGUGCUGGAAGGUUAAGAGGACCCGUUAACCCGCAAGGGUGAAGCGGAGAAUUUAAGCCCCAGUAAACGGCGGUGGUAACUAUAACCAUCCUAAGGUAGCGAAAUUCCUUGUCGGGUAAGUUCCGACCUGCACGAAUGGCGUAACGACUUCUCAACUGUCUCAACCAUAGACUCGGCGAAAUUGCACUACGAGUAAAGAUGCUCGUUACGCGCGGCAGGACGAAAAGACCCCGGGACCUUCACUACAACUUGGUAUUGAUGUUCGGUACGGUUUGUGUAGGAUAGGUGGGAGACUGUGAAACCUCGACGCCAGUUGGGGCGGAGUCGUUGUUGAAAUACCACUCUGAUCGUAUUGGGCAUCUAACCUCGAACCCUGAAUCGGGUUUAGGGACAGUGCCUGGCGGGUAGUUUAACUGGGGCGGUUGCCUCCUAAAAUGUAACGGAGGCGCCCAAAGGUUCCCUCAACCUGGACGGCAAUCAGGUGGCGAGUGUAAAUGCACAAGGGAGCUUGACUGCGAGACUUACAAGUCAAGCAGGGACGAAAGUCGGGAUUAGUGAUCCGGCACCCCCGAGUGGAAGGGGUGUCGCUCAACGGAUAAAAGGUACCCCGGGGAUAACAGGCUGAUCUUCCCCAAGAGUCCAUAUCGACGGGAUGGUUUGGCACCUCGAUGUCGGCUCGUCGCAUCCUGGGGCUGGAGCAGGUCCCAAGGGUUGGGCUGUUCGCCCAUUAAAGCGGCACGCGAGCUGGGUUUAGAACGUCGUGAGACAGUUCGGUCUCUAUCCGCCGCGCGCGUCAGAAACUUGAGGAAACCUGUCCCUAGUACGAGAGGACCGGGACGGACGAACCUCUGGUGCACCAGUUGUCCCGCCAGGGGCACCGCUGGAUAGCCACGUUCGGUCAGGAUAACCGCUGAAAGCAUCUAAGCGGGAAACCUUCUCCAAGAUCAGGUUUCUCACCCACUUGGUGGGAUAAGGCCCCCCGCAGAACACGGGUUCAAUAGGUCAGACCUGGAAGCUCAGUAAUGGGUGUAGGGAACUGGUGCUAACCGGCCGAAAACUUACAACA
rnacentral:rRNA from 1 species